rnacentral:rRNA from 1 species
AGCGCAACCCUCGUCGUAUGUUAUAUGUGUCAUACGAGACUGCCGGUAAAAGCCGGAGGAAGGUGAGGAUGAUGUCAAGUCAGCAUGACCUUUAUAUCCAGGGCUACACACACGCUACAAUGGUCUGUACAAUGGGUAGCCAAGCCGCGAGGCGGAGCCAAUCCUGAAAGCAGGACCUCAGUUCAGAUUGCAGUCUGCAACUCGACUGCAUGAAGCCGGAGUUGCUAGUAACCGCAGGUCAGCAAUACUGCGGUGAAUACGUUCCCGGGUCUU